UUUUUUGUUUGGGCUUUGGGGGAAGAGAUUCUUUUGUUUUAAUCUCCUUUCCACUCUCACCUCUUCCCGGGGUUGAUUUGAGACCCCAUUGGCCCGCUUGUGUUUGAAAUCAAGAAGUACCACAUGCAUAGAGUUCAUGUCAUAGGGAUGGGAAUCAUUUUGGAGCGGUCAACCUUGUAAUGAUAAUUUUUUCUUAUAAAAAGUAGCCAAUAUUCUUUUUUUCUAGCCUUCCUAUUUUUGUCCCAUUCUGUAACGAGUAUAGUCUACAAACAUUAAGAAACAUCGAUCCGCAUGGGUACUGCAGAGGCUUUCCAAGGGUAGCUUGCUGCUGGUUGUAAAACAGUUAAUAUUCUUUAUAUAAUGUGGUGGGAAGAGAAGAUUGGUUUGUAUAUGAUGCUCAUUUUCAUAAAUCAUCCUGGUAAAACCUAGAUUUCUCUUUUGCUGCCGCCUUGCAUGGUCUUAACACGAUUUACAUGGUUUCCUGGUUUGUACCGUGCCUGUCCAUUCUUGCUUGAAAUAGUGAUCUGGUUUGCCAAUGGAAAUGCUGUUUUCCUGUGAUGAGUUCCACGGAUAAAUGGCUGCCAGCUGCAUAGGAACUAAAGAAAAAUGGCCUUGCAAGGUUAAGCAAUCAUGGUCUGCCAUUCUCGUAGAAUUAAUUCUGAGGAAUCAUGUUUGAAUGUCGCUGGGGAAGGUUGGUGGAGAAUUGGAUUGUUACAACUCAGUGGAGGAACAAGAGGAGAAGAAGCUGAAUAACAUGGUAGUUACAUGAAUAAUUCAUGGGAAAUUAGCUAUAUAAGCUAAGGUGUAGGUUACCACGUGAGAUUCAAGCAAUAACAAAUGAUUUCCAACCCUGAGGAUGUAGCUUCCUGGUCAAGUUUUAGGUUUGCUCUCUAGAGAAUACAAGUUCGAGUUUUACAAACUUCAUAACUACUGGAAACUUACAUAAUCGUUAACUUCAGGGCUUAUAAAAUUAGUCGAGAUGUACACAAGUUGACCCAUACAACCACAUUAAUUAAAAAAAAAAAAAUUUCUUUUUAACCUCCAUCUAGCAUAAAUGGAAAGGCGCUAUCUCACUUUUUCCAUCAAACUACAUAAAGCUUCCUCUACAUGAAUUCACAAAUGAAUUUUAUACUUUAUCAUGGAUUUUUUUGUUGUAAAAUAUGAAAUAUUAUGCUUUCCUUGUAUUAAUUUAUCUCGUGUACACCGUAAUAUAUUAAAGGUGAUUACGUGAUGAGUUCAGCCUCUCAAUUAUAACAAACUCUGUUUCAACUUACUUACAAGUUAAAUCUUCACUUUUGUCACUCAAAAAGGGAGAAAGAAUAUAUAGAACCACAAAAAGAAAGAGACGAAUAAAGAGUCAAAGAUGACAUAAAUGCCAGAGGACUAUUAAUUAAUGCACCAUAAAUGAUCAAAAUCAUCACCCUUUGCGACAUUUCUUCUCAUUUUUUUCUUUUCCUGUUUUUAAAUUCUGAUUAGUGGUUGCUGCUGCUUGGAGAGGAAUCUUCAUCACCAGCUAACAGAAAGUGAUUAAUGCCGGAGAUGAUUAGCCAAAACAGCGUCCACAGCUACCUAUCUCGUUAUCAUGAAACAAUGACAACCCACCGACCCAAUAAAAAAUCCCUCUUGACUAGAAGACAAUCUCUCAGCUCUCGGGGAUUUGAUGUUUCUUAACACUGUGUGGUAAAGAAACAAAAGGUUGGCAUUAUAAUAAUAAGAAUUUGGAAUUGAGUAAGGCUUGCUUCUUCAUGCCCUCAAGGCAAUGCUAUCCAUGAUGGACCUCUUCUUGUUUCUGUGUUCUAUAGAGUGUUAAGGACGUUGUUGAUGACCUCUUCUUGUUUCUGUGUUCUAUAGAGUGUUAAGGACGUUGUUGAUCUUUCCAUUUGUUCGUGGAAUCUAUAGAAGAAAAAAAAACCCUUCAAAAUAUACUUUUCGAAACCUUGAGAGGACAAAAAGUUGACUCUCCCGAAUCCAAAUAUUGUUUAGUCUUUCUUCCCUGGGAGGGAAAUACUUUCCCUCCGUGCCUGCCUGCCUGGAAGUUUGCAAUGAUACAAGCACAGAUCCAUUGCACAACCAUACAAAGGGAAAAAAGUUCAAGUACAUACCAUUGUAUACAUGAAUCAAAGCUCUCAUGAUUCAUAAAUAUAUAUAUUCUCUCAGCUAAAUGUGUUCAAAGAUUUGAAAGCUAAUGUCCUCGGAAAUCAACUUCAUCAAUCAUUCACUAUUCUCUUUGUCAUAUAUAAUCUAAACUUAUGGUAUAGCCCUGUUCAAUCCACGAUAUGAAAAAUGUCAUUGAGCUGUCGGAACAUUAUUGAAUAUUUGAAAAUCUCUAGGGCCUAAGGAUAUUCUCUAAAUUCUAUUAGGAAAAUAAAGCUCAACUUCAGACAUACAGUGAAAUUUAAAAAAAAUUAGAGGGCCAUUCAAUUCAAUCAUACGAGUUGCUGCUGCUGUCAAGAGAGAUGUUAGAUAAUAAUAUAAAUCAUAUCUUGAAACCUUAUCUACAGCUUAAACUAUUAAGUUGAGAUGGUUCUUUUACAUGGUAUCAGAACCUUGAUGACCAAGUGGUCACGAGUUUGAAUAUCACAAUCUCCAUUUAUUUGAUAAAAAUUAAGCACAAGGUAAUAUGAGUAUGUACAAGUUUCAAGUCUAAAGGGCUUUCAUUUGAGAGGAUGUGUUAGAGAAUAAUAUAAAUCAUAUAACAUUACUUAACAGCUUAAACUAUAUCAUAGAACCUCCCUAUUCCAUGAAAAGUGAGAUUGGAUUACCCAACCAACUAAGUUGGUUUACAGAGUGUUGAAAUUUCAUUUGAGAGAAUGUGUUAGAGAAUAAUAUAAAUCAUAGAACCUUACCUAACAGCUUAAACUAUAUCAUAGGACCUCAUAAACCUGCAUAUGAUUUUAUAUGAUAUUAUGUCGCCACAAUAGUACUAAAUCUUUCAUAAUACUAAGUUUUGAUAUACAAAAAAUGGCUUAAUUAAAAUGUUGGCAAAAGAAUAUUUCAUUUGAGGGAAUGUGUCAGAGAAUAAUAUAAAUCAUAGAACCUUACCUAACAGCUUAAACUAUAUCAUAGGACCUCAUAAACCUGCAUAUGAUUUUAUAUGAUAUUAUGUCGCCACAUUUCAACAAUAGUACUAAAUCUUUCAUAAUACUAAGUUCUGAUAUACAAAAAAUGGCUUAAUUAAAAUGUUGGCAAAAGAAUAUUAAAUGGUAGCAGCUGCCGCACACACAACUAGAAGCUUAUCUUCAUACUGGAAGGUAAGCUCUCCACAUUUAAAAUUAAUUAGUGCAUUUCAAGUCAUUUUUUGUAUCAAACUCAGCGGGGUGACCUUUGCGUUGGAAACAAGUGAUCUAAAAGACGUGAUUAGAUUCCACCAAUUGUCCGAGAAAGACAUGCACUAUAAUGAUAAGUAAUAAACAGCCAUGCAAUGCUCUAUAGCAGGACUGACUUUUUGACAUUUAUGUCCCCUCCACUCCUUUGGUUUCCCACUGACACGGUCAAAGGUUCUUUAACUUCAACCUCAUGUGUUGCCUCCAUGUCUGAUAUUAAAUUACGCAUGCAUAAUUAGCUGAAUUACGUAUUUUCUGCUUUCUAAUUGGCUCAGCCCAACAAUGAAUUAUUUCUCAAAAAUCUUUGAAACCGUUGCUUCCAAGUAAUUGAUCUUGUUAGAAUUGGCUCUUUGCUGAGAAGGAUAAGGACGCGAUGAUUAAUGGUUGGUAUGGUGGCAUGCUUCUUGCAGUUAUAUAUCAUGCCUUUCUAUUCAGGAUUUCUUAGGGAAUUUUCUUUUCCAUGGCUUGAUUUAACUGGUAUAACGAUAGCAGUGGUCCAAAUGCUUUUCUUUCCACUGGAUUAGGGAAACUUGUCUUUCAAAUUUCCUUCUAUAAGACAUAACUAACCACAUUAGAUUAUUCCCCUGUUAAGUUCCCAGUAUCUGCAGAAUCAUCCAAAUUAUACUAAAUUAAAUCAGUAGAAAUAUUUGAACCAUUUGAAGUCCCUCUUGUCAGACUGUUCACUUUUUGUUUAGCCUAUACUUGCCCGGAACCCUAAUCUUGUUAUAGACAUUAAUAUUGUGCCACUUUGCCACGUUUUCCCUUCCUUUCCUCACUGGCUUGACAUGUACCACUUUGCCCGGAACCCUAAUCUUGUUAUAUCCAUGUAAUACUAUUAGAAAGUUAAAUAGAAGAGUUUGUCCACUAUUAUUUAAUUUACUAUAUAAUAAAAACUCAUAUUUAAAAAAGAAAAGAAUGUUUCUUUUCAAUAUGAGAUAGAUUUUUUUUCUUUAUUCAUUUUCAAUCUACACCAACACGACACAUGUAUCACUAUCAAAUUUGAGUUUUGAAGUAAAAAUGCGUGGUACGAAAUAAAGCACUUUGAGAAAACAAGUUGCAUGGUGAAAAUGAUGGGAAUCUCCUAUGGUGAUAGCGACAUGCAUGCAUGGAUUGUAUGCUUUUACUAGCACUUCAUAUUUUACUUCGAGAGCCCACCCAGGUGCAAUCUUACUAGAUAGGUGAAUUGUAACAGGAGAAAGGGCACCACCUUUCAUAAUCUAGAGAUAAGGAUUUCAAGUUUCAACAAAUAACUAAGGAUUUAAGCCAACAAAAUAUGACCAUUAACACAUCUUUCUAAUGGGAAAGCUCCUCCUUUCGAGUGUAACCUUCUACCUAAUGACGAGGGGAAAAAGUGAUCAGAAAGAUCCAAGUUCGAUCGAUUAUCAAAAAGGCAAACUUGCAUUAUUUCUAGAGACGGCUUAAUAUAUAAAAAGACAUGACUUGAAAAAGAUUUCGGAAAGGAAAAUAAGAUAAAAGGACUCAUCCUAGAAAUCACCCUCAGUUCAUUUCUUUUCUCAUAAGGUAUAAUUAAACUUGUUUGGACAAGAAUUUUAGUAUCUUACGAUGCCAAACAUUAUAAACACAAGUGAAACGUUAGACUAGUUAAAUAAUAUUACACGUGACAUUAUCAACUAAUCAAACUUAAUGUAGAUAUACAUAUACAAACAUAGAAACAAAAGGUAGAAAUUUAAUUUCAUGUUGUGAUAAAAACAAUCUAAUAAAGGAAUAAAAUGGGAAUAUCUAAUAUUCACCCAUCAAUCCAUUCAAAAAUUAGUAGAGCUAGAUAAGAACAAAAAAUAGUUUUAUACAAUGUUAAAGAAUCAUCUCAAUUUAAAAAUUUAAGCUGUUAGAUGAGGUCUCAAAAUAUGAUUUAUAUUAUUCUCUAACACAUCUCUUUAAGUAAAAAUCUUUUAAGGUUAAAACUUUCAUAGACCCAUACUACCUUAUACUUAAUUAUUUUUAUCAAAUAAAUGAGGAUGAUGAGAUUUAAACUCAUGACCGUUUGGUCAUCAAGGCUCUAACACCAUAUCAAAUAAUCAUUUCAACUUAAAAGUUUAAGUUAUCAGGUGAGAUUUUAAGAUAUAAUUUAUAUUAUUCUCUAACACACGACGAGUGCAAUCCUAAAUUAAUAAUUAAUUUUGAAGUGUUUUCACGGUGGAGUUUUGCACUAAAUCUAAUUUUUUAGGUUUUCUAGCUUUGCUUUGAAUCUUUGUAUUUGGUGGUGUAUCUAUCGAGCCACCCCCUUGCUGGCUCUGCUUUUCUUUGAUAUGAUUUCUUUUUUUUUUAAAAAAAAAAGAAAAGUCUAACUAUUCAAACCUGUGUUUGGGGACGUGAUCAAUAUAUUAUAUUAUAUAUAACAAAUUGAAAGCUGUCACGAUAAUGAUGCUAACCAAUUGCAUACCACAAUAUUGCUUUAGUGAAGAUAAGGUGAACGGACUUUAAUUUGGACAUAAUAAUAAAUUGAUAUAUGCAUGUGGCCUACAAGAUCGCUUAAAUAUUUCUCUGUUCGUGGCACUCAUCUCUUCUAACUAAGCACUUGAUAAAUAAAUAUAUAAAAUAUAUGCUCUCUCUCUCUCUCUAUAUAUAUAUAUAUAUAUAUAUAUAUAUAUGCUAGCUAGUAUUUAUGCAUGAUGCGAAUUCGAAAGUUCAAAAGUCCAAUCGAGUAUAUAUAUAUAUGCUAGCUAGUAUUUAUGCAUGAUGCGAAUUCGAAAGUUCAAAAGUCCAAUCGAGUAGCACAAACGAAACAAACUUUGCUCUUGAUUACUCACGAGAUAGAUAGAUUUCUAUAUAUUCUUGUAUACCAAGAUUUUUAAGUUUUCUUCUUUCGUUAAUGAGGACGAAAUUUGAGCACUUUAAUCAGUUUACAUUUUUCAGAAUAUGAUAAAAUGAUAUUUCAUAUCAUGCAACUACAACUCAAGAACAAUAAAGAAUCAUGUUUCUAGUUCCUAUUAGAAAAUAAUAUAAAUUAUAUCUUGAGAUUUCACGUAAUUAACAGUUUAAAUUUUUAAGUUGAUAUAGUUAUUUAACAUGGUAUCAGAGUUUUGAUGACUAAGUGAUCACGAAUUCGAAUAUCACAAUCUCUAUUUAUUUGAUAAAAAUCAAACACAAGAUAGUGAAGGUCUGCGCAAGUUUCAAGUCCAAAAGAUUUUUACUUGAGGGAGUGUGUUAGAGGAUAAUAUAAAUCACAUCUUGAAAUCUAAUCUAAUAGUUUAAACUUUUAGAUUAAAAUGAUUCUUUGACGAUUUCAUAUUUUAUUCUCGUUGUUUUAUUGAUGAAGCUGAACUUAAGAAGCUUGGACAUGAAGAUGAAGAGAAAGAGAAGAAAGACUUGACACCAUUCCAGAAACCAAUCUGGACUGUCCACAGACAAUAUAGAACCCCACCAGUGACCCCAAAUGGGUGCUUCUUGUGAUCAUCAGUGUAAUCGUGGGCAAAAUUAGGUUGGCGUUUCUUCAUCAAUUGUAAUCAUCCAUAAAUAGCUGAUGACUUUGAGGUCAAGUUUACAAUCAAAGUUUACAUUUCUUCAGAGAAUAUGAACCUCUAAUUCCUAAUAAGAAAAAAUGGUGGAUUAUGGAUAAUCAAUUUAUCAGUAUAAUCCAUUACACGUACACUACGUUUCCCUCCUUUCGUCUCAAUCAAGCCACGAUAUCGUUUUCUGUCAACGUGAGCCUUAAGUAGCUCUCCUAAUAGAACACGCACAAAAAGUAGGCGGCUAAAGGGACUCGUUGCUAGGGCACCAAUAUAUAUUUUUAGCAAAUUACUAUAAUUUUCGUGUACUGUGAUUUUCUCUCGAGCUUUUUCAUUCAGAGAAAAGGUGUUCGAUAUUUAGCAGGGUCUUGAAAUUCCUUUUCAAUUUAAAAAGUGGAUGAAACAUCGUUAAUGAUUUCUUUCGUUAAGGAAAAGCUUUCUUCAGCUUGAAAAUUACACAAAAACAUGUUACUUUUUGAGAAAAUAAAAAUAAUAAAACUCAAAAAAAUUAUUUUAAUUUUAAAAAUGAGUUUUCUUAAAUAGUAUUAUAUUAACUUUCAUGCACCAAGCAACCAAUAAAAUCAUGGCUAAAGAUGUUUCCGUAAUUCAGUGUUUUACAUGUCUUGAUUAGGUCGCCUUAAUUAGGUUGAUGGACUCGGUUUGACAUGGAUUUAGACUUUUCUUUUUCCUUUUUUUUUUCUAUGAAUGGGAUAAAAAAAAAUUAAGGAAAGUACAAAAGAUAGCCAUUAGGAUAUGGCUUUUAAAGCAAUUCCAAACCAGUAAAAACAACACCGGAAAAAAUCGAAGCUACCUAGCAAAAUCGAAGCUAGGAUAAGAAGGGUAGUAGUGUGAAAAGUGCUCGGGAGAACGGAUCCUAUUGCUGAUAGAAAUGUGUUCAUUAGUAAAACCCAUAUAAUUUAUUUUUAAAUUAAAAUAUAUAUAUAGUUGUUAAAGAAUCAUCUUAACCCAAUAGUUUAAACUGUUAGGUGAGGUUCCAAAAUAUGAUUUAUAUUAAUAUUCUCUAACACAUCCCCUCAAGUGAAAGUCUUUUGGGCUAGAAACUUGCACAUACUCACAUUACCUUGUGCUUCAUUUUUAUCAAAUAAAUAGAGAUUGUGAGAUUCGAACCCGUGACUGCUUUAUCAUCAAAGCUCUAAUACCAUGUCAACGAACCAUCACAACUCAAUAGCUUAAACUAUUAGGUGAGGUCUCAAUAUAUCAUUUAUAUUAUUCUAUAACAAUAGCGGCUUAUGAUUGUUGAAAUUUUGAAAAAUUAAACAUCUGUUGUUGUUGUUGUUGUUGUAAAAGAAGAGUCGAAAAUAUUUUCUAGUUGAAUAAGAGUUAGAUUUUGAUGCUGAUGGGUUUUCUCAUUUUGGAGUUUAAAGAUAUGAUAAAAUUGGAUUAUGAUUUUAUAUGAAAGCCAUAUUUUAAGUCACAAGCAACAUUUUCUAUAUAAAUAGCUAGAACAUGUAUUUUACAAUUUAUUCAGUUGAGAUAUAUGAUGUUGUGAUAUCACCUGUCAAAAUCUGUAGUUAUAUGAUGUUGUGAUAUCACCUGUCAAAAUAUGUAGUUAAUACAAGUUUUUCAUCACAUUUCUACUCGGUGAAGUCAUCAUAUCUUAGUUUAUCUUAUCAGACAUUGCAAUAGAAAAUAAAGAAAAGAGAAUAGAAAAUAGAGAAAAAUAAUAAUUUUAUUUUUUAAAUGAAAUAGCAUAUGAAUUCCAUGACAAAAUAUCUUAUGAACAAUCUUAGAUAUCAUGGUGGUACAUCUAAUAUAGGCCAAGGUAUAUCUGACACCUAUGACCCUACUGAUGCAACCAUAUAUGGCUCAACGUAUAAUUGCACGUAUAGGUAUCACAUCUCCAUUCGUACAUUAACCUUGACCUCGACCACCAUCUCCCAAUCCAUCUUACAUCAAUCCACAGUAUACUAGUUCAUCACAAGUCUUAAUUGUAUUUUUUUUUAUUGUAUUGUGACUUAUUUGCAUUAAUGUAAGUUUAACUAAAUUCUUAAUUGUACUAUGAAUUUUAUUUUUAUUCCAUUUAUUGUUGUUGAUAAAGUAAUUUUAAAUAUUAUUGUAUGUUGUGUGUGUGUGUCCUACUAUUUUUAAAAUAUCCAAAAUAAUUAAUUAAAAAACUAUUUGGGUAAAAAAAGUAUAUAAAUUAAUAAAAAAAUCAUAUAAUGAACAAUGAAUUUUUCAUUGUUGAUUAUUAAUAUUUCAUAAAUCAGCAAUAGUAAAUCCAUUACUGGUUAUAUGCAACUCGUGUGUGUAACAUAUAAUCGGCAACGGGUUUUUCCAUUGCUGAAUAAUGAGCAAUGAAAAAUUCAUUUCUAAUUAUCAGCAACGAAUAAUUUGUUGUUGAUUUACAAAUCUACAAUAUUAUAUUGAUUUUAUUGUUAUUUUUUUAUUUGAUAAUUUUAGUUUUAUCUGGAAUUCAUCAUGAGUAGCUAAUAGCGCUCAUUUUUUAGCAGCAAAAGAUGCAAUAGUUGUCAAGACUUCUUCAAUGGGAAGGAUCUUUUCAAGGGUAUCAACGUACGGUACCCUGAUGAGGAUGAUGCUUGUGGUGCUCACUACAAGAUUUAAUAGUUUUACCGACGGAAUUUUUCCAUCGGCGUAAGACACAUAUUCCGUCGGUAAUUAAUUUACCGACGGAAUCACCAACGGAAAUGCUCUGUCGGUGAAUCUUUCGUCGGUAAUUUUUUAUCCGUCGGUAAAUCCGUUGGUAAUAAAAAAAUAAAUUUAUCCGCUUCAUUUUGUCGGUAUAUCCCUCGGUAAUAAUAUUUUUUUAUUACCAACGGAUUUACCGACGGAAUUACCUAUGGAAUUUUCGUCGGUAAUUCCGUCGGUAAUUAUUUAAAAACAUUUUAAAAAAAAUUCAUUUUAUAAAAUUAUAAAAUAAUUAAAUUAACAUAAAUUAACACUGUAUAAUAUAUACUCAAAAUGCUUGGAAAAAAGAAUAAGAAAAUCAACUCAAACAAAUUUGCAAAAAAAAAAAAAUUCAACUAAAAAAAUUCAUAUGAAAAAAAUGAAGUUGCAAUUGCUAAAAAUUUAAAAAUCCUAUAAAUAAAUCUACUAAAAAUUGAUCUCAUAUGAAAAAAAAAUCUCACAACAACAUUUAUACAAUUAUUAAGAACAAAAACAAUUAAAAAUAAAAUAAAAAACAAAUAUAGUGAAAAAAAUCAUGAAAAAAGAAGAAAAAAGAAAAAUCUUACCUUAAUGUAGUUGCAAGUGAAGCCAAGGAGAGAAAAAAAAUUUCGUUAAGCAUAUUAAUUAAAAAAAACACUAAGAGGAUAAAAGAAGAAAGAAUAAGAAGACAUACUCAAGCAUGGAGGAAAAGAGAAGGAGAUGAGGAGAGAAAAGAAGAGAAAGAAAUAGAUAAUAAAUGAUGUUUUUUACAUAUAGUGAAGAAGAAGAAGAAGAAGAAUAAGAAAUGGGCCGGUCUCUUGUGAAAUAAGGAGAUUCAGGCUUUUUAUUGGGGCGCGUUACCGACGGAUAAUUGAAUAUUAAUAUUUUUUAAUUAUUCUGUCGGUAAUUCCAUCGGUAAUAUUUAAUUUAAAUUUUUAAUUUCGUAAAAAGUUUAUAGAAACCGCCAAAACAUUACCGACGAUUUUUCAAUCCGUCGGUGAUUCCGUCUGUAAUAUUUAAAUGAAAAUUUUAAAUUAAUUGAAUUUUUUCAGAAAACCGCCAAAUAACACCGACGACUUUUCAAUCCGUCGGUGAUUUUGUCCGUAAAGAACAACAAUUAACAGUGCAAUUGGGAAGCGAACAGUUCUGGAGCUCUCUGUAAAAUACCGACGGACAAUUCCGUCGGUGAUUCCCUUUGUAAUUGACAUGAUGAAUAGUGUUCAUAUUUUUACCAACAAAUUUACCGACGGAAUUCUGUUGGUAAAAAUGACACGUCAUCAUUUUUUUGCUUUGUUUUAAUUUUUUUUCCCACGGUAAUUCCCUCGGUAUAUACGGAGGGAAUAUUUCCGUCGGUAAAAUCCCUCGGAAAUUUACCGACGAAAAUAUUCCCUCGGUAUUUCUGUUUGUAUUUAUCAAUUUUCUGAUAGUGGCUUUUGUUCAGGCUGCAAUUCUUAAUGGUGAGGGUAAUGAGAAGGUCCAAGUCACAGGCCAGUUUAUACUUUGUUUAAUUUGGAGAUCAAUGGCAGAGUCAUGACUGUAAUAUUGAUUUCGAAGAACACGUACUACCAUCCCCACCAAGAAAGAGCAAGUUUUCUCCACCAAGAAAUAUUGUAUUCAAAAUAUUUAUUUUUUUAAAAAAAAAGCACAAGUUUGAUGGAUAAGCUAAAAUUUUCUUAGAGUAGUCUACAUGUCUUGUUAAUUCCUAUAAGAUUGACUUGUUAAUGCUAGCGGGACCGAGAGUAUGUCCACAUUAAACUUAGAAUAUGAUGUUUGAGAAUUUUCUUUAUUUUAUAGCUUAUUUUAAAAAAAAAAAUAGUUAAAGAUUGAUCAUUGAGAACUUUUCCUUUCAAACUUAACUCUUUUAAAGCUCUUUCAAAGCACAAAGCAGCUAAGCCGGCGCCUGACCAAAAACUAGCUAGAACCUUAAGAACCAUAGACCAAAAACUAACACAUAUUUAUUUAAGGAACCUUCGCCACCACAACUAGAUAGAAUUCUUCUUGCAUGAACUGAGGAACCGAACAGCAGGCAAGCUAACAUAUUGACUCCAAAAUCAUCCAUGUAUCUUAGAGAGCAGUUCAUCUCUUAAUUUAGAUAGAAGUGGAACUUUAUUCCAAGAAUAAACUCACAGAUCCCAAGAGCACAAGAAGUCAUCAAGAACUUGAUCAAAUUAAUGCAUCUCAAAAGGAACAACAGCACUCAAGAAAGCCAAACAGCGAUCACAGAUGUUAACAUCUUUUGUUUUUAUCAGCUACCGGUGACUCAAGAAUCGUAUUUCUGAUAUACAAUUAUUAGUCACCGAGAGGGUGGUUGAAAGAAACUAAUAUUGAGACUAAUAUACAAACUGAGUCUUGAAUAUAUAAAUAUAUGAUCUGAGGUUUUGAUUAUUUAAUUAAUAAUACCAUGUUAAAAAAUCAAUUAGUUUUAAAGAAUAUAAUAUAAAUCAUUUUUGGAAUUUCAAUUGAUUAGUCUUUUUGUUUUUUAAUCAAAUAUAUACAGAACUCGACCAAAUGAUCAGAAGUUGACUUCUCCCACCCUUGAAGCUGUGAGGUUAUUAAGAAUGGUCCUUGCUAUAAAAAGUGUUAUUCACUGUGGUUAAUUUCUUCGCACUUUCUAGCAACUAAUUAACUCGCUUCCUUGAUCUAGUGUUAAUUGCAAUGGCAUCGCGUUGGAAUUCAUUAAUCUUGAAGGAUUCAGAAAAGAUGCUGCACCCAUCAUCACAUCACUAAGCCAGCAAUACUUCUAUAUAAUGGCAGUAGAAAAAAAAAAUUUGGAACUUUUCGAAGCUUUUAUUCCCCUAAUUGAUAAUUAAGGUGACCAUGACAUGAUUUUUUUUUCGUACAAGAAGGAUGCUGCUGUAGGGAUGGUCACUCCUAUAUAUACGAGAAAGUCUGAGGUAUUCAAGCACCCAUUACGAAUCUCUUAUCCUAUCAAGUACAAAUAUGUACACCAUGCCAAAAUUCUUCCAUGCAAAUCCUCGAGACAAAAAAACCUCAUUCAUGGCGGCCCUAUCAAUACUUCUUAUCAUCAAAAUCCUUUGCCUGGCUACUUUUGCAGAAGCUACCACUUCAAAACCUUUGCCAUCUCAGUUCGCAAAAUUGUCUAGGUCAACAACAACACCCGGAGCUCCAUCAUCCACUGAUACCUCUCCGUGCAAAGGCACCCCUUACAAAGCAGCCUGCCAAUCUCUCCUCCUGACAUUGAAUACCAAUAAUAAUGCUGAUCUUCCUAAAACCCCGAAAGAACUCUUUGAUUACUCAGUCCAUUUCACCUCAAGCCAAGCUCACUCAGCCAUAGACCAACUCGCUACCACAUUCCUUGGCCAAACCUACCAGGAGAUUGACAUGACUCAUUUGCCUGGUAGUGGCAUGAGAGACUGCAUGGAGUUGCUUGAUGAUACCUUGGACCAACUCUCUAAUGUCAUCAAUCGCAAGAAUGACCCUACCCACACCCACAACGAUGUCCAGACAUGGCUUAGUGCUGCACUUACCAAUCAAGAAACAUGCAAAGAAAGCCUGCUUGAAAAUGUUAAAAAAACUCAUUUAGAGAAGUUUAACGUAAUAGAUUCCAUGGCAAAAAACUUAAGUCAAUUUAUAAGCAACUCUCUUGCACUUUAUGUGUCCAGCUAUGGACUCCCUAGUACUAGUCCUCGUGGUCGGAAAUUGUUGACGGACCAAAGUAAUAUUAUUAAUGAUUUCCCAAGUUGGGUAUCCUUGUCGGAAAGGAAGCUUCUAGAAGCUUCUGUAGGAGAGAUAGAAGCCCAUGCAGUAGUGGCAAGGGAUGGGAGUGGGACCCAUACCUCCAUUGCAGAGGCAAUCAGGCAGGUGGCGGCUUCUCUGGAUGGUGGGGGUAGAAAUGUAAUUUACAUCAAAGCCGGGACUUAUAAGGAGAACCUCAAUAUCCCUUCAAAGCAGAAGGACGUGCUUUUAUAUGGCGAUGGGAAGGGUAAAACGGUCAUUGUCGGUAGUAAAAAUGCUGCAGAUGGUUCCACAACUUACGACUCUGCCACAGUGGGUACGUAUUUUUUUUAUUACGUACUUUUAAAAUUAAUUUUUAAAAUGUUUUUUUUUUCAACAAUUUUAUAUGUCUGUAUCAAAAAAAAUAAAAAAAAAUUCAUCUAUAUCAUUAACAUAACAUGCUGGUGAUUUAUCUUGAUAAUCGAAGAAAUUAAUUUUACCUCUUUUAUUAUUUUAAGAUAUGUUAUUAUCCGUUUCGGUUGAAUAAAAUUUUGACAAAAUUAUGAACAAGACUUUUUAAAAUAUUAAAGAAAUAUAUAUAUAUAUAUAAUUUACAAGUAAGAUCCUAGAUAAUCUUCAUUUUAUAUUUGGAGCUUUUUUGUUAUGUGGAAGUAAUUUUUAUUUUAUAAAAUAUAAUUAAUAAAUAUUUUUUAGAUUUUUUGUUUGUUAGGUAGAGGUCUUGAAUCAAAAUUACCCUAAGUAACUCUUAAUUUAAACCGACUCUGCUCUUAUCUUGAAUUUUUGGAUGCAUGGUAUCAAGAAAAUUCUGGAGCUAAGACAAUAAUAAUUUUGAGAUUGAUUAGCGUGUGGGAAUGGGGAUGACAAAAGUCAUCUCCUUCCCCCACCCCACCAGUGCUGUGGGACGCAUGCAUUGCAUUAUAAUUAACUGGGCAUUAAUUGUUGAUUUCUGGCCAUAAUUUGUUUUUUGUGCUAAUUAAAUAUGAGUCUGUGCUUAAUUAGGCGUGAUGGGGGAUGGAUUCAUCGCGAAAGACAUAACAUUUGUGAACAGUGCCGGUCCGAGCAAGCACCAAGCUGUUGCCCUUCGAGUUGGAUCCGAUAGAGCAGUAAUCUUUCGAUGCUCAAUCGAUGGUUAUCAAGACACUCUCUAUACUCUUUCCAAACGACAAUUCUAUCGAGAAACGGACAUUUAUGGCACAGUAGAUUUCAUUUUUGGUAAUUCAGCAGUGGUUUUCCAGAACUGUAAUAUUUUUGCCAGGAAUCCCGGAACAGGACAGAAGAAUUUUGUGACUGCGCAAGGUCGCACUAGCCCUGAUCAAAACACAGGCAUUUCUAUACAAAACUGCCAGAUAGAGGCGCAGUCAGUCACAUAUCUUGGUAGGCCAUGGAAGCAAUAUUCUAGAACAGUUAUAAUGCAGUCCUCUUUGGAUGGUUCAAUAGAUCCUGCUGGUUGGUUUCCUUGGGCUGGUGGCUCCUCCCCCUCGUCAAUCUAUUAUGGUGAAUACUCGAACUCAGGCCCCGGCUCCUCUACUUCCGGCAGGGUCAACUGGCCUGGCUAUCAUAGCUCGCUUACCUCCGUAGAAGCUCAAAAGUUCACGGUUGGUAGUUUCAUUAGCGGGAAUGUUUGGUUGCCCCCCACCGGAGUUGCUUUCGAUUCUGGGCUGGGUGGUUAAGGCUCGAAAAUGGAAACUACGAUGGGGUCCAAAUGUGUUUAUUUUAUUAUAGCUGUCAUCUUUGUCCUAUCUUCUGUUUAAUUAUUUUCCUAAUUUAUUAUGUUGUUUUUGUUUAAAAAUAAUUUUACUUGUUCAUGAAUCAAGUGCCCAAAUGUAAUUCUCCAUGUUCAAGUAAUACAAUUUCAUUUCAAGUAUAAGGAGCAUUUACUAUAAAGAAUUUAUUAGAAAAUAAUAUAAAUUAUAUCUCAAAAAUUCACCUAAUAAUUCAAGUUUUUUCAAGUUUUUGAGAUUAAUUAUUUCUUUGAUAAAUAAUUUUAUUACAAUGUAUUUCUUUACUUCAUUUUUCUUUUUGAUAAUCUUAGAGAUAUUAUUAAAAGUUCUUUAUGGUUCAGUGAUGCCAAGGACACCAUAAUAUUAAAACUUUCUUUCCAGUCCACCGUAAUAUUAAAAAAUUUCUUUCAUCCAAAAAAAUGAAAUAUUUUCACACUAAUAAGUAAAAGAAUUUUGUAUGAAAGUGAUAUAUUUAAUGUAUGAAAGUGAUAUAUUUAAUAAUUAUUUGCUAUUAUGAUAGCAAUUGUUUUUUAAAAUAUUUUUUAUUUAAUUUCAAUUAAAAAAUAAUUUAAAAUUUUUGAAAACAUUGUUUUUAUUGCCAAAACAAGAGAAUUAAAGAGCAUGACUUUUACGCUAGAGUACAAUAGAGUACAAGAGAAAUUAAAUAUACAAGCACGCUGGAAAAAAAAUCUAAAAAGCAAUUAGAAGCACAUCAAUCUAUUUGAUGUUCAAAUAAAAGAGAAAAUGAAAUAAAGGAAAAACUUGUGCAUGUAUCUUUCAUAAUGACGUGUUUGUUUUCAGCAAUAAUAUAUAUAAUAUAUAUAUAUAUAUAUUAGUGCAAUGGUAGCUUGGUAAUUUUGCUGUUGGGAAAUUUAUCCCACGUAACUAAAAGUAUUAUUUCACUCCUAAAUUAAUUAACUUAUCACUUUAACCCCUUCUUUUUCCAUUUUCCAUUCUUAAUAAUAUUAAUUUGCCUUUCUGCUCCUGAGUAAUGUUUGAGAUUAUGAUAGCAGUUACUUUUAAAAAAAAAAAUUUAUUUGGAAAUGCAUCAAAAUAUUUUUUUUAUUUUUUAAAAUUGAUUUUUAACAUUAACACAUUAAAAUUAUAAAAAAAAUAAUUUAUAUUUUCUAAAAUAUAAUUUAAAUCUUUUUAAAAAUACUUUUUAAAUACAAAAACAAACCUGCUCUAGUAUUGUUAUUUGUUAUCCAUAAGUUCUUUUGAUAACAGGCAAAGUUAUCUCUCUUCCUUGCAUUAUAUUAGCCAUGGGUCUGGGCCUGUGGCCGAAAUAGAUGCUAAUUCCUGGCCCAUUAGCUUACUUGCCUUGGAUGACCUGUGAUUGCACUGCGUUUUUCAGUUUUCAGUUAGCAGCCUCAUUAAAAAAAAUAAAAAUGGAGCUGAAGCCCAAGCCAUACAGGAGAAUAGAAGUCCAUGGGCCAAUUAGCAGAGAUACACAUUAAGAUCCAGAUGAUAGUCUUAUGACGCAGUUUUGUUUUUUGUUUUUUGUUUUAUAUAUAUAUAUAAUUUGUUUUGAGAAUUUUAAAAAAGAUUUAAACCGUCGUGAUAUUAAUGUUAGGUUGGCACAUGAUGUGUUUUCUAUAAAUAAAUCAAAAUGCUUGAAUUCUAUAAAUAAAUCAAAAUGCUUGAAAAUAGAGAAUAAGAAAUAGCUAUAUAUUAGUCUUGAUUAUAUUUGCUGGUGAACUGAGAAAACCAGAAAAAAAAACUGAAAAAUCGAAUCGUGAAAAAAAACCGAUUAAACCAAUUAAAAUUUUUAAAACCGACCGGUUCAGUUCGGUUUCAGUUUUAUAAGCCUAAAACCGAAAAAACCAAACCGAACCCAAACCGGAAAAAAACCAAGUCAAACCGGAAAAAAACCAAGCAAAAACCGGUUUGAACCGGAUUUUUUCCUAAAAAACCAAACCGAAACGAACUGAACCGAAAUCGGUCGGUUUGAAACCAUUUCGGUUCGGUUUCGAUUUUUUUAAAAAAAAAAUUGAUUUGAUUAUUUUUUUUUAAUAAAAAACGAACCGAAAAUGAUCACUCAUAAUAUUUGUUAUUAUAAGAAAACAUGGCAUUUGAUUUUCAAACAAAACUACUUAAGUGAUCUUAUUACAUGUAAAUUUAGUAAAAUCAACCCAAAAUCCUCCAUUAUCAUAAUACACCUCAAGGAAUUUUCUUUUUAAUCAUCAAUAUAAAUUAACAACACAAUAAAAUAAAAUUAUAAGGAGACAGAUGGGGUAAUGUUGAUCAUAGGCAUGCUAUGCUACCUCAUCAACAUACCUAUAUAUGUGGAGAUCAUGAUGUUUCUAAUGAACAUCAAUGCUGUAGCGCCACAUGAUGAGGCUUGCUUUGGUGAGGAAAGAGAAAUUUCAUAAGAGAAGAAUUAGAAGCCAAAUUCAUUGAAAGAGAAGGUAUCAAAUCAUUAGGUAUUAAAUCCAGCUUAUUAUAUCGAGUUAUUCAAUAUGAUGACUCGUUAAUUUAAAGUUUAGUUUGAUUCAAGUUUAUUAUUAAACUAUAUUGAGAAUUAAUCCGGUUAAAGUCAUGUUAUCCUACAUAUCAACUCACAACCAGGUUAAUCGGGUCAAAUGUAGAUUUGUCCCGAUAAAAUCAACUUUAAAUAUUUUUAAAAUUUUUUGUUCAAACAACAUCAUCUUGUUUAAAAACAAAAGUAUAAACGAUUGAUGUAGCUACUUGAUAGAUUCAGGUUAAUGCGUCAAUUGAUAAUUCACCGUCCAACCUACCACGUAGCCUUAAACAUGGUCCAACAUCGAAUAAUACUAUUAUAUUUAAAUUUUUUUUGACGGAACAUCAAAAUCAUAAUUAGACAUUUAGCUUAAAGUUCACAAUAGCUCACACGUCCAUGUGACAACGGAAGCACUUUUGGAGUUUUAUUAUAUAGUAGGAUAGAAGUAUGGAUGCUUUAAGUAUAGUUGGAAUCGUAAGAUCAUGUGGCCAAAGGAGACAAUAUCUCGAGCAGAGAUUAUUACAUGAUAGCUAUGUAUAUAUGCUUUGUAAAGUAGAGCGAGAAGCACGAAAAAGAGGGAGAAUUAACUAUGCCUUUUGAUUCUAUUUGAACCUAUACAUACAAAACUAACUCGACCUAGAUAAAAACAACGCCGCCAAGAAUCCCUUGAUGAAGAAAAAUGGUAUUUGGGGGAUUAUAAAAAGAGACUCACUUGCCCAAUCCACUCCAUCUAUCACGGUGAUGUUGUAGUCAAGAGUGCGUGGAUUAAUUAGAAAUAAACCUAGAAAUAGUAUAUCAAAGAAAGAAAAUAAUGGAUUUUGCUCUAUUUUUUUAUUCUCUCAAUGAAAAAUUGUGUCUCUUACUUUGAGAAUUAUGUUUGUUUUCUAUCAGCAUAAUCACACAUGAAUUUUUUCUAACGGGUUAAUUUCGUCAGUAACAUUAUUUGUAAAAUUUAUACGUCAUCGAACUAUAUAAUUUUUUUAUUUUUUUUCACUAUGACUCCCUUCAUAUAUAUCAUGAAAAUAUUUUUGUUGGUGUUUAUUAAUGGAUUUAUCAAAGAAAAAUUCGGUCGGUAAAUAUCACCACAAUAUAUUGAUAGAAAAAUUUUAUCGAUGCUUCUAUUUGUAUUUAUCUAGUAAUAAUUUAAGACAAAGUUAAUUAAUUAAUUUUCCUCGCAAGCUUUUUAAUUUUUAAUUUCUCCUCUUUAUCUCAUGUCAAAAGAAAUUAAUUUCUCCUCUUUAUCAAGAAUAACAUAUAAAUUUUAAUUUGUUGGUUAUUUUUAUUUGUAUUAUCGAAAAUAAAAAGUUGAGUAAACCUGAGAAAUAAUAUUGCAAUUACACUACUAAUACGUAAUCAAAUUAUUUUAACUUCAGAUGAUUGAUCAUUUAAACUAGAGAUCUCUUAAGAAAAACAGAGAGAACACCGGUUCAAAUCGAACUACAACUCAUCAAGAACUAACCAAUAGUUUGAAAAUGUACUUUCAACAAUAUAACGAGAACGAGAUACCUAUGUAUCUUGUUAAUUAUGAAGAGUUUUUUGUAUCUUGUUAAUUAUGAAGAGUUUUUUGUCGGGAUAUAGAUGUCUUACGAGGAAAGGCAGGGGCAGUAGACGACCUUAUUAGCAUCCUGAGGUUAAUAAUAAUAAUAUAUAUAUAUAUAUAUAUAUAAAGGGGGGAAGAAGACGAUGAGGGCUAAGACAAAUUAUCAACACAAAGCAUCAAUUGACAAGUAAGUAAUCAAAGAUUAGAUAAGGGGAAAAGGUUCCCAUUAGACAAGUGGGUACUGAACCAUGUGCGAUCAUGUGGUUGUUGGCCCUUGGCGGGCCCACCAACCCACUUCUCCAGCCCUAUUCCUUCUUGACAGGGAAUUUUUGUUACCCUUUUUCUUCAAAAUAAAUUUUUUUUUUAAAAAAAAAAAAACAAGUAGCCAGUGUGCUUUCUUUCUUGCUUUGCUUUCUUUCGUGUUGGCGAGUGCACUCGACGCUUGUUUCUCGAAGGCCUAGAAACAUGGCAAGUCUUCUUCCCAAUUCAAACAGUGGGGGCUCCUGGCUGAAUUUCGUUUCCAUUAAUAAAGCAACAGGGGCGGCAUGAUCUUUACAUGGUUUUUAUGACACGGCGGACAUGGCGUGAAGUCCACGUCCCCUAAGGAAAUAGACAUGUGGCACACUUUUAUUAUGGCCAAAGAUGAACUUGGUAAGAAGGUUUGUAGAUUAAUAAGGAUGUGUAUGAUUGAGCAUAUGAAUGUAGUAUUGUUGAAUGUUUACAAUUUAUAAAUUAUAUGAGUUUUUAAGAUAUAAUUUAUAUUAUUUUUUAACCUAUCUUCUCGGUUUAAUCAUCAAAUUUUUAUGUCAAAGAAUCAUUACAAUCUAAUAACUUAAACUAUUAAAUGAGAUUUUAAGAUAUAAUUUAUAUUAUUUUUUAACUAAUAUUAUAAGGAAGCUGGUUUGAUGAUAAAUUUAUUGAUAAUGAAAUUUAACAAAGGCUUUGGAUUAAUGGUGAAUGGGUUUUGUUAUUUUAAUUUUGUUAUUGUGGAGGUUUGAAUCCAAAAAAAUAUGAUAAGAAGGAUAGUUUUUAUAUAUAUAUAUACACACGAAUAUAUACAUCCAUUUAAAUAUAAAUGAUAUAUUUAAAGCUUGAUGGAAGAAGGAUUUAAUAUUAGGGUGAUGGAAUCUAUUUCAAGAAUGCCCUAAGAGCCAGAAAAAAAAAAUUAUUGAUGAAAAAAAUCCUUUAGGUGCCGAAAACAUAAAGGCUAAAAUUCUCUCUAGCCGUCCAAAUUCAAUCCCUUCCACUCUCAUCUAAUAUUCCUUCCAUAUUAGCUUUUUCUCUCUCUCUCUCUCUCACUCUCUCCCUCAAAAUCUCAUAAUUAGCUCUCCAUGCCCAUGGAAGAAAGCCUUCUCUCUCUUUCCUAGGCUUUUUAGAAUAUUAAGAGCUGAUUUGUGUGCGAGUGUCAGAGAUGAGGCCCCCUUUGUGUCAGAAGAAAAUCCUAACUUCCAAUCUCAAAUGCUCACUUGUCCCUCUUUCACCCCCAUAAAGUGACUUGUGUCAGAGUUAGUUAGUUAGUACUAGGAUUUUACGGGAUAGUUCAAUCACAGUACUAUACUAGUACUCCUGCUGCUGUAGUUUCUAUAUAAAUUCCUGCUAGAAAACCCUAAUAUUCCCUUCACUGUUUUCUCUAGUUAUUCUUUCCUUGAAAUUAACUCGGUUUAGAGCCAUGACUUCAAAGCAUGUAAUAGCUACAACACACACGGGGUCUAUUAAGAACAGGUUUGCCCGUAGAUUUCUCAGAUCCCUUCUGAAAGUGAAAAGGAGUGAUAGACUCGGCACUGGUACUGGUUUCCAAUCAAAUGAAGAGAUCAGGAAAAGGAAUGCUCAGAGAAUAAAGACCGCUGCUUAUAGAUCGAUGGCUCGUGUUGUUGGGCCAAGAAAAAAUUGGAGCCGAGCCCUUCUUUUCAAGCUUAGAUACCGAGCCAGAAUCCAGGGAGCUGGUUUGAGAAAGCGAUGCUUGGUUUCUAAGAAGAAGAGAGUUCUAAGAAAGGAAAAUAAGGUGCAGGUGAUCUCAAGAGAGCCCAGUCGUGCUGAUAAUCUUCGAAAGCUUGUACCUGGAGGGGAUUCGAUGGAUAUUUGCAGCUUGUUGGAUGAAACUGCACAUUACAUAAAAUGCCUUGCUACUCAGGUUAAGGUGAUGGAAAGUAUAGCCGAUUUAUACUCUGAAUGAUGAUCAGAUGAUGAAUUGCAUGCAUGGUAAUUUGAAUAUAUUGUUUUUAUAUACAUCAAAAUUGAAGUAAAUAUCAUAAAGAAUAAAACUACCAUGUCAUGUUCUACAAGGAAAGGAUCCAGAUGAUGAGUUUGUAAACAGGUAAAUUCUCUAGAUCUAUAUAUAAAUAUAAAUCACUGCACAGUAAUAUUUUUCUGCAUCUUGAUGACAGAUGUUAGUCAGAUCAGGGACCAAUCGUACCAGAUGGUUUUUGUUUCUUGUGCAUAAAUAUAUUAUCUGACAGACAGGAUAUCGUUUAUGUUUUUUGUAUUUUCUUCCUCUCUCCCUCUCUACAACAUAAGCUCAAACUGCAUCUUCACUUCUUAAGAUUUCUGUAAUAAUUUUCCAUAGCUUGCACAUCAACGAUUAUAUAUAUGCAGGCCGAUUGUAGUGUAUAAUGUUGCAGGUGGCAACAUAAUAAGGGAACCCUGUAUAUGGGACUAAUCAACCUAUCAAUUUAUACCUUCUAUUAGAAGAUCUGAUAGUGAAAAUCUUGUUUCUAAAGUUAAUAUGGCUUAGGAGACUGAUCGAUCAAGUAAUCACAAGGGUUUCAUGGCAGUCACACACACACACAUAUAUUUAUGUAUACAUUUUCAGCUGCAAGAAAAUGUAUUACAAAUGCUGAUUAGCCCGAGUUGUGUUGAGAUAAAUCAAUGGUACUUGAAUUUGAUGUAGCCAAUAUCGGCCAGGUCGUUGAUUAAAAGAUAUAUAUAUAUAUAUGCACAGUUUUCACAUCCUGUAAUGUUUGAUGGAUGGUUCGAACUAUUUACUGGACCCAAACCUAGAUUCGUUCAAUAUCAAUGAUAUUGUGUGGACGGGGAGCUUGUCCAGAGUCCUUGAAUUUACUAGCGAGGGGUCAGUCGUCAUCCAAAAAGAGUAAUAAUAAUUACAGAAACUAAAAGAGAAACAUCUGCACUCAUCCUGCUGUUCAUCAUUUCAACAUUACUAAAUUUAAUUUGUAGUAUUUUCGACUAUUCUACCCUAUAGUCACUGCAGAGAGUGCGAAGCAGUUAAGAUCUCAAUUUCAAGCUUUGGAGAUGGUGGGAUAUGAGAUUUAAAGAUGGAAAAUGACUACUUUUUAAUCUAUAGUUGAAAUCCUGUUGGACUUUAAUAUGAACAAGAAAUAAGUUUCUAGAUUAAUUAACAAAUUAAUUGGACAUUCACUAGAUAAUUAUACAAAGAAAGGGAGUCCUUGUGGGUUUAGCAGCUGUCCAACUGUUUUGGUUACAUAUCAAUUCUCCAAAUUUAAUUUAAUUGAUAGUUAAGGAGACUCUUUCAUUGCCUAUUAAGAUCUAAACUUCCUGCCAACCAUCAACCAUGCACUAAGAUGUAAGCUUUUUCAUGAAUCUUCUUGUAUCGACAUGGAUAUCAGAGCUUUCUUUUGUAGAGCUAGCCCUCGAAAAUACCUUCUAACAUAUAUAUAUAUAUAUAUAAAGAGGAGCAAGAUAUAUGCACCACAACUAACUGCGAUUGUGAAUUAGUACGCUGUCACUCUCGUGAUCAAUGUUCAAAGCAAUUCUUUCUUAACUUUAUGCUCAGACAAGCAUUAUAUGUAUACAUAUAAGAAGUGGUAGCUAGAAUCUUAGCAAGUGCUGUUUACAAAAAUCCGUUCAUUAUGUAGGAAAAAAAUUAAAAAUCACGGUGAUAUAUAUAGUUUGAUGACAGAAAUUGCAUGCUUUCCGUAUUUUAAAUUAACUUAAUAAUACACUAUAUAUAUUUUAAUUAGAUAUAUGUGUUGCACGUGAAUUAUUCAAAUAUUCAAAAUAUUAAAAAAUACAGCAUCCAUGACUUAAAAUAGUUUGAAGAAACAUUCAAAGUCUUUAAUUAUUUCUAAUAGGUAAAAUUAUUAUGAAAAUGAUAAGAGUUUUUUUUCCUCCAAAUUACAGAGGAACCGGUGAGCAAUGUAGUCUUCUUUUUAUUAUUAAUUGAAUCAAGUAUAAAAUUUGAAAAUCAUAAUCUAUAAAUCUAGUGAAUAAAGAAAAAAUGGCCUGGGAAAAAAAUCUGUGGUGUUUUGAUGUAUGUUAAAAUCAAAGGUUCUUCUAAGUGAUGUUUGAAAGGAAAAAAGUUUAAUUAGUGUAAUUAUAAAAAUAAAAAAAAUUAUGGUCUAAAAAAAGUUAUAUAAGAAAGGUACGUACAUUGAAUUUGUUAUAUGAGAAAUACAAAAUUGGAUAUUGAAUCUGAAAAGUAAAAGGAAUAUAGGGUACAUAGUAUAAAUGGGGGGAAAAUGUUAUAUAGGAAACACAUGUUAGGAAAUGAAAAAAAGAAAAAAAAACAUAUUAAAAAAGUUAUAGGAAUUAUACAUGUAUUAAAUAAUAAGUUUAUGAUGAUUAUUUAAACAAUUUAAGAGUAUUAUAGUCUUUUAAAAGUAUUUAAGGUAUUAUCUUCAAUCAAAAGUUUCCAUAGAGUUUGUUCUUUUAUAUAAAAUUAUAGAUAUGUCAUAUAAAUUGAUAAAAUAAAUUUAGUGAAUUUAUUAAUAUUCUUAUUAUAUGUUUACACACACAUGUUUGUUAUAAAAAGCACAAAACCCGUAAUAAUAUUAUUAUUUUUUUGGAAAUGGGAUCCUCUCGUGUUUUUUUUGUUUUUUUUUAUUGUAUAAACACAACAAUAAUAUUAGGAAAUGUAUAUAUAUAGGAAAUAUUAUAGAACUACUCUAGUAUUGUAAUCUCUACCUUUACUAUUGUAUAUUGCUCUACAUAUAUAAAUAGAAAAGAUUGACAAAUUAAUAGGUUAAACCUCUUAUUUCUUCUCAACUUGGUAUUAGUCAUUACACAUUAAAACUUCUCUCUCCCUAAUGGACGUUGUUGUUGCUGCCGACUUCUCCCUCCACCAAACCAACGUUGCAGCACCGUCGAUCGACCACGCACAAGCUGUUGUUAGUGGCCCCUUCCCACAAUAGCAGACUCCCUCUCUUGCAGAGUAGAAAAAUGAUUCCUCUUCUCAUGUUUCUGUCGUUCCUCUUCAUAUUAUAGGAACCUUAAUUCCAGCCAUAAUUUCUUUGUCCAACACUCACCAAGUUAUUUCGUUGAAGCUACGAACAAUAAUUGGGCCUUGGAAUUUGAUUUAAAUUCAGGUUAAUUUUUAAUUUUUUAAACCAAUUAAAUAUUGUUUUGAGGGGUUGGUUGUGGGUUUAUUAAAGUUUAUAGGGUUUUUCUUAGGGGUUUUCAAGUACAAAAUAUUAAAAAAAAAAGCUGAAAAUGGAGGUUUUUUUACAAAAAAAACAAAAACAAAAGAGCCCAUUUUUCACCAACUUGAGGUGGCCUAAGCAAAAAAGGUGGAUGACAUGUCAUUGAUCUAUUUUUUAACAUAAAAUAGGCAAAACCAUUCAAAGAAAAAAAAAUGGCUAGGUGCGCUAACCUACCCAGACCCAAAUAUAUGGCCUUUUUUUAACUUUGGUUUUAAUUAUAACUCAUUAAAAUAACUUAGAAAAAAAUUUAUUUUGAAUUUUAUUUUAUUAAAUAUUAUUUAACUUUUACUUAAUUUUCAAGCAGCCUUAUAACAUUCUUUUUAUGACAUAAACAAACAUUUUUUAUACAACCCUUUAUAAUGUUUUAUUAAUAAAAAUAUUUGGUUGAUUUUUUACGCAUAUUUAUUUUUAUUGUCGUAUGAUUAAAUAAGAAAUAGAUUUCAAUAAACAAAGUUAUUAAACUCAACCAAGUCCAUGACCUGAUUUAUGGAUUUGACGGGUUGACUCUGAUUGUUCCAAAACAUCAUCAUCGUUUUGCUAUAUAAAAAAAUAUAUUGAAACAACAUCAUCUUAAAAAUAUUUUCUAAGUUAAACCGAGUUACAAAAGGGUCAUGUUUGAACUUUCCAGGUGGAUCAGAUCCCAUCAAAUCAACUCCCACAUAAUUUAGUUAGAAACUCGGGCAAAAAAAAGGUCUCGGUCUAGAGGUCUGCAAGCCAACCCAUCAAGUUUGGUAACACUGUCAAAAAAUUCUUUGUGACAAUACACAAGCAAUGUAGUAUUCCUAUUUGUUUUCUAAUACAUUUAUGUCUAAAUUGUUAGAAUAUGUUUUUUAAUUAAAAUUUGCUAUUAUUAGUAUGAUGAUGAGGUGUUGUCUAAGAAAUAAAUAUCCUAGUUUUAAAAAAAAUCAUAAAAAAUAUAAUAAUCCUUAUUUCAGAUUAUCCGAUUUGUUUUAUAUUAGUUUUGAUUGCUUUUUAUUUUUAUUAAAUAAAUAAGAUAUAACAAAAAAAGUUAUAUUUCUUAUGGAUAAAAGAUAAUAAGAUUAUUUUUUUAGAGAAAAUUAAAUUAUUACAUUUUCUAAAAAAUAAAAAAUUAUUAUAUAAUUAAAUAAAAAAUUUAAACGUCACACAAGUUGGAUAUCUUGAUUGAGAAUGUUAGUAUAUGGGAUUGAGAAUGUUAGUAUAUGGGUUUUCUAAAUUGAUCGGAUUACCGUAAAAUUUCUUGGGCUAAAAAAACCAUUUUUCUUAUAUGCACAUCCAAUCCAUCUGUAGGUUUGAUCUGCUUCACUGUGAAAAUCUAAAUAACUCAUAAUGUCCACCCCACUUGAAUAUUUGAAAAUAUUUUGUCAGGUCAGAUCAGAAAAUCAAAAGAGUGGGUAAAAUGUUUUUUUUAUUAUUAUUAACAUGGGUGUCCGGGUUAGCUUGUACGCACCUCGAUUAAUCUCACAGGCCCUGAAGUUAACGACCAUAUAAACCUUCAAUGGUCAUCAUAUUAGCAACCACAUGGUUCGAACCUGAAAUUACAUGGGAUAAACCUCUUGAUCCCAAAUUUUUAUUAUUAGCCACCUACUAGAUGGUUAGAAUGGAUAUAAUGUUGAUCUCCGUGAGGAUUUUAACUUCCUAUCUAAUAUACUUUAAAACAAGAGUUAUUAUAGGAGUUUUCUACCUCCAAAUUAAAUUACAUAGGUUUUUAAAUCAUGAUAUGAAAAAAUACAUGUUUUGUUGAUAAUUAUCAUAAAUUUGGAAUUGAUUCAAAAUAGGAAUUGGGUUAUCAAAUCAACCUAUAGGUUUUUAGGUGAAUUAUUUUUAUUGAAACAAUAACGUUUUAUUAUUUUUUUCUUGGCAUUAACCUGAUCAAGUUUGGAUUGGAUUUGAUCGAGUUAAUCAAAUUAUUAAAAAUUAAGUUGUGUCGAAUAGGUUUGGUUAAGUCAAUGUACUGUUUACUUUAACUAAAAGCUUGAAUCAAAUCAUAAAUUUCUUAGAUCAACUUAACUCAAAUCACAUGUUUCUUAGAUGAAUUUCUAAAAUUGAUCUGAAUUUAAUAGUUAUGUUUUUAUAAACAAGUAUUUAGUUUUUAAUAAAUACUAAUGAGUUUUCAUUUAUCUUCUUUUAUAUUUAUAUAUAUAUAUGCCAUUAAUGAUUUUAACCCAUUGAAUAAAAUCUUCUAUAUGUUUUCCAUAAAAAAAAAUACCUCUUCUACUGAAAUAUGUGUUUUGGUUAUACAAUCUUUUUAUGAUUUCCUUAAUAAACAUAUGUUUAGUUUUUUUAUAAAUAAUAAAUAGUUUCAUUUCUCUAUUUUUAUAAGACACGAUAUUUUAUUAAUAAUAGUCUUAAUUCAUUGUUUUUUAAACAAGUUUUGCAAAGUUUUCUUCACAAACAUAUGUUUAAUUUUUAAUUAUAAAUACGAAUUAGCUUCUUUUUUUUUUUUUGUUAAUAAGACACUUCAUUAAUGGUCUCAAUUCAUGAAAUAUAUUCUUCUUAUGGAUUUCCUUAACAAGCAAUGUUUAAUUUUUUUAAUAAAUAGAAAUUAGUUACAUUUAUCAUUUUUAAUAAGUUACAUCCUUUUAUUUAUAUUCUCAACUCAUUAAAUAGAAUCUUCUAUAAUUUUUCAUAAAAAUUAUAUUUUCAAUUAAAAUAAUUUUUUAACAUCUCUUUUAAGAUUUUCUCAAUGAAUUAAAUUUUUAAUAAAUAAGAAUUAGAUUUAUUUAUAUUUUAAUAAGACACAUCAUUUCCUUUAAUUGGCUAAAUAUUUGUUUAAAGGAUUAUGCGUUGUUCCCAAUAUUUUUUAUAAACAACCUUGCCAAAUGGAGGUGCAUUAAUUUGCAUACAGUACUGAUCAGUCCCAUUUUAUAACCGGAUUUAGCUAUACUUUAAUUGGCUAUUUAUGGAACUCAAUCAUUAUUCAAAAUUAACCCCUUCCAUUUGGCAUUUGAUCAGUUAAUUUCUCGAAUAAUUAGGUUGUUCCAAAAAUAAUACUCUAGAGGAAUAGUAGAUUACUGUAUUCUCUCUCUCUAAUUAAUGCUUUAAUCAUUAGAUUUAUCAUUACUUCUUCUCUAAUUAUCCAAAAAAAAAAAACAAGGUAUUUUAGAAUUACGGUUGGUUCUUUUUAUUAAUAAGGAAUAAUACCUAUAAAAUCCAAAUAACUUUAGAAACAAGGGUUAUAUCUUCAGCUAAUUUUUUUAUUCUAGUAAUUUAAUUUACUUUUUUAACCAAGAUAGCUGGUGAUCAAUGCUUGGUACUUGACAAGUUAAGAUGACUAGUAUCUGGUAUCUGUAAAAGAUCAUAUUUUAAGGAAUUUAGAAACUUUCUAAUGUUUAAAUAAGUAUCUUUUUAAGAAAAAAGACAACAAUAUUUUAGAGAGAGACUGAAAAUAAACAUACAGUGAAAAAUAAAAAUUGUAAAUCUGCUUUCAUUGAAAGAUUCAUAUGGUUUUUAUAGCCUAUGAGUCUUGUCUUGAUAUUAUCAAGGGAAAAUAUCCCUGAAACAUUCAUUAAAAAGGGAUGAAUAUCUCUAACACAUCAUUAAUAAGGGAUAAGUGGUAGGUUCUUUUGAAGAUUUUUAUACACCUAAAAGUGUAGAGAGAUGAAAUACUUGACCUCAACAUUUUAUGUUAAGGAUUAUGAGGAAAAACAAGUGAAGUCUUGCGGCUCAAUAUGAGACCUAGAAAGAUCAUUAGUUUUAUAUCCAUUUGGUCUCGGAGAGAUGUUGAGCCCUAAGAUGUUGGGUCUGACAGCUUUCCAAGUCCACAUGUAUUUGGGCUCAGCAUGUAUCUGAGCCUUGGGGUGUUGGGUAUGAUAGCUUACAAGAUCCACAUGUAUUUGGGCUCAGUGUGCAGCUAAGCUUAAGGGUUUUACCAGAUCCAUAAAUACUUGAGCUCAGCAUGCAAUUAAGCCCAAAGAUAUUGGGUUAUCACCCUGUCUUUGAUCCUUUUAAACAUAGAUUUUAAGCUAAAUAGCAUGUAUAAAACACUUUGAUCCAUUAGUAGCCCCCUAAAUUUAGGCAUAUUUAUUAUGCAAAGAUUUUGAAAGGUUAUUAGCUUUAAUGAAAAUCAUUUUACUUGAGAGUUGAUUGUCCCAUUAAUGAGAGAUUGUUUACCUUCCCUAUGAGGUUUGUCUUCUAGGAUUCUUUGUGACCAUGUGUCUCAUCUUUAUUUGAAGAAAAUGAUUAUGUGGCUUAUCUUUAUUAAAAGAAGGUAUCUCUUGGAAAACAAAACGACAGUGUGCAUUCAAUGCAACAAUUGAAUAGACUUCUAGAUAUCUGAGAUGACAUGAAAGGUCAAUUAUCUAGCUGUUAAAGUGAAAAGUUAUUUCCUUUAUAACCCUAGUUGUUCUUAUUUCUAUCUUUCCAUUUACUUUCACCCUCUAUAAUUUCUAAAAAUAAUAGCUAUGUUGAGAGAAAAACAUGAGCCAAUUCUGCUCUAAUCUGAGAAGAAAACCAUCAUUUUUGGUAUCUCCCACCAAAAACCUUUUUUUUUCUUAUUUACUUUAAUUAGAAAAAUGGACUUAAAAUGAGUCAAAUAUAUCCCUAGGAGAAGGGGUUUUGCUGCCGCUAAUGAGAAGUUCAAUUUUCAACUUGAAAUUAGAGGAAGCAGUAGGUAAUAAAGGUCCAUCAGAAUGGGCCCCAGAACUAGAGGAGGUGGAAUCCUAGUAUCCACCUCUAGUAGAGGGAGAUCAGUUCUCCCCAUAAGAGAAUUGUUUUCUCCUAUUAUUACUAGAGAACCUCAAGGCAGAUAAAUACUACCUUAGAUACUACCAUAAGGGUUCAGGCCAGCUACACCCUAAUGGGUGGAUAAUAUUAUUUGUCUUUGACAAGUUUCUUGGGCUCGUCAAAAUCAAGCCUACAGUUAAUGUCUUUAGGACCUGUUACCAUCUGGUCGCUGACACUGAUGGUGGUAAUGACAUGCAUUGGUUAUUUACCUUCGCCAACAUAACCAUAUGAGCCAUGAAAGGAACCCUACAGGGAAAGCUUGCCCAUAUCAAGAAAUGGAAAGGGAGGUGGCUAAUAAUAAGAUAUAAUAGGCAGUCAGCCCCAGAGGUAAGAUGCAAUAAAUUUAGGGAUGUUCCUACUAUUAGAGGGUACCUCCCCUUGAUAUUAACAGUAGACCUUGUCUAAAUUCAAAUAAAGAGAAAACAUGUGUUGCAUUAACAUCAGCCUUAAUCGAGUACGGAGUCAAUAGGAUGUCCAGAGGGCACUACAUGUCAUGUUGCAAAGUUUGUAACUUCCUUACCCCUUGUUUUUCUUUGUACAUUUAAGUUCAUUACUGACUUUGUUUUUGUACAUGAUUGACAACUGAAGAAAAAGGAGAAACUUCAGCAAGGUCUAUAGAGGAGAGUUCACGAACAGGGUCUUUAUCUCUUAACUUGAGUGGAGGCAAGGCUAGAUAAGAGAUGGAGGGUGACCCUAUCAUUAUAGAUGAACUCCAUAUCUUUGAGAACAUAAUGGCAUGAACCAUAACUUUUAUAGAAACAAAAGAUAGAGGUAGCUAUACUCUCCUACCUGCGGGUCAAACAGAUCUAUUAGGCCAUGUUGCAAAGUAUGCAAUUUCCUUACCCCUUUGUUUUUCUUUGUACAUCUAAGUUCACUGUUGACUUUGUUUUGUGUAAGACCGAUAGCUGAAGAAGAAGGAAAAACUCCAGCAAGGUCUAUAGAUAAAAUUUCACGAAGAGGAUCUUUAUCUCUUAACUUAAGUAAAUGCAAGGCUAGAAAAGAGAUAGAGGGUGACCAUAUCAUUAUAUAUGAGUUCCCUACCACUAAGAACACAAUGACAGGAACUAUGACUCCUAUAGACACAAAAGCUCGGGUAGUCAUACUCCCCUACUUGGGGGUCAAAUAGAUCUGACCCAUUUUAAGUGAUUGCAAACGUUGUUGUCUAUUUUAAGAAAAAGAGGAUCUCUGCUCUUGUGGAGACUGGUGUUUCGGCCUCAAAUAUAGAGGCUCAUGUGGAGACAUUCCUUCUGCCUUGACAUUUAACUUUGUCUGCAAAUUAAAAGUUGCAGCAGUUGAGCCAUCUACCUGGGUUGUUAAUGAGAAAGCUAAAUUUAAGGAUGUUUUUGCCAACCUUGUUCUUGGUGAGGCUUCCCUUCAUUGGCUAAGAAAUAAGAAAAAUUAUGUGGAAGCUAAACCAAGGAGCCUCAAGGUGGCCUAUACAUCGUUAAAGGAAAAUAUGCAAGGCUUUGUUCUUCAAUUAGGCUCCAUUGAAAAAAAAUUAGGCUAUUUAUAAUCGGGUGGAUACCCUAAAAUAGAAGAUCUUUAAGGCGAAUGCCACCCAAGACAGCCCGAGGGCUGAGAUUCUUGCUAUCAGAGAAGAAGCCCAGGGUUCUCGAGCGCAGCUGGAGAUUUUGAGGAACUCUUUUAAGAAGUUCCAGGAAUUUCUUAAAAGGUCUGCAACUUUGUCUAAAACAAUUGGGGAUAACAUCUUUCAUGUCAUGCCCAACCUAUAUUUCUUUAAUCAAUAAAAGGAAAUGUAGGUGGAAUUCAGUGUUGCCUUUCAUCCAGUCCCAAUGCUUGAUUUUACAUAUGUGUUCCUUAUUAGGGCUACAAUUACCUAAUAUAGAGAAUAUCUGAUUAAGGAGCCUGAGCUAGAUAUCUAAACCUGCACCCCUUUCUCCUCUUAACUAUGUAAAUAACCUCGGUUUUGUGGGGUUUAUCCAUGUGAAGCUUUUUAUUUUAUAAAUUUAAUUUUUUUUAUUUCUAUGUUAACUUGUGUAAUCUGUAUGGAUCCAACACCCAUAGUAAAAAAUUUCAUAUAGGGUCCAAAGCCUUUAGAAAAUUGUUGGGAAUUUAUAUGGAUCUAACACCCAUUUUAGAAAAAUAUUUAUCAAAUUUUAGAAAGAAUCGAGCUUUGAAUUUUGCCUAACCUUUGUAAGAUUUACCCCUUGCUUGAAAUUGAGAAGAAAUCAAGGUUGUAGGUAUAUCUUUAUAUUCCCAAUAGAUUGUUGAGAUGCCCCUAGAAUUGCAUAGAGAUUGGUGUUAUUACAUUGCAUAUAUGAAGUCAAAUCCCAUAGAGAGUUAUGGGGCCAUUGCCCUAGGGAGAUGUCAUGUCAAUCUCAUCCUCGAAGAGUUGUGCAAUCGCAUUAAGAAAAUCAUAUCAAUCCCUUCCAAGGUAAGAUGUGCAAUCGCACUAGCUAGGGAGACUGAGUUGAUCCCUUCCAAUUUAAAUUAUGGAAUCACAUUAGAGAGACUAAGUCCAUCUCAUCCUUGAAAGAGUUAUGGGGCCAUUUUCCUGGGGAGAUGUCGUGUCAAUCCCAUUCUCGAAGAUUUAUGCAAUCGUACUAGAAAGACCAUGUCAAUCCCUGUCAAGGUAAGUUUUGCAAUUGUACUGGGAAGACUGAGUUGAUCCCUUUCAUGCUAAAUUAUGCAAUCACACUAGGGAGACUGGGUUCAUCCUAUCCUUGAAAGAUUUAUAAGGCAAGUUCUUUUAAGCAUCACUUUGAAAAAAAUGAAAACAUUGUUAUUUUGAACAAGUUAAUCUAUACAUAAGAAACUUAUAUUCUUAAUCAUUGACCAUGGUACAUUUUAUUGCCCUUUGAGGUAUAAUCAACUCGAUAAUUUAGGUAUCCAGUUUUUGUUGAGAUCAUGGUCUCAGUUUUAUAGGUGAUGAGAGAAUAAUGUCUUUCUAGUAGAUGUCUUUUAGGUAGUUGACUCAUUUUACCUUGGAUGGUUGCCAAAGAGACUUCACAAGUUUUAUUGUUUGAACCAACACUUUAUUUGCACUUGUAAAAAGCUUUUAAGAUCUCGAGGUUUUAAUGACAUUCAUGAAGUCGACAAAUAUAUAGCUCGAAAUUUGCUUGUCUUCCCAAGUCCCCGAGAAAAAUAAGAGAAAUCAUAUUUUGACUUAGAGCAAUAAAAAUGGUGCAUAGCUUUCUGAUUCUCUUACAAACAAUGCACAUCAAAUAUCCACGGUAGAUCAUGUCUACCAAGUUGAUUUAGAACAUUCUUGGUUAUUAAAAUAGUCUCUUCUGUUAAUGAAAUUUAUUGGUACCAAGGUUGUCAAAAACAUAUUUUUAACACGACACGAAAAAUAUAAUACAAACUCGGAUUGUAAAAACGGGUCGUAAAAUCAUAAAAUCAUAAAGAAUUUUUUUUCAUAUAUAGUUUAAGCACCUUUAAACACACAUUGUUCAAAUAAAAAUUCAAAUAUAGUUUAAGUAUCUUAAAAAUACAAUAAAUACAAUUAUUGAUUUUCAUAAAUUUUCAUUCACCAACAAUUCACAUACUUAAACAAAAGCAUUGACAUAUGUUUUUAGCAACGUUGCCACCUCCUCUGUAAUUCAUAAGAAUGACAAAUAAUUGCAUUGAACAUGCCUAAUGAGAUAAACCCAAACUAUGAAAAAUUCAAAGUGGAAUUUGAUCUGGUUCUUUUAUUUCCUUCCAUCCAUAACUUUCAUUCUUCCAUUUUCUGUCUUUUUUAUUAAUAUAUAUCUUGUUUAAUGCUUACAUGGUUCACCUCACCUCUAUUUGGGCGUUUCAAUACAUCUAUCACUUGUGAAAAGAAAACUCUAGGUAAAAAACCACAAACUUCAUGUACUUAGAAAAUAAAGAAAAUAAAAUAUGUAACAAAUGGAAACAUAAACAAUAACUUCUAAAAGAUCCUGAUUUUAUGUGGGAUUUUAUCAAUUAUGGAAAACAUAGCAUUCUAAUGUAUGAUAUCAUAUGACUAAAGAACAUAGAUAUGUUUAUGUUAACUAUUAACCAAAAGGUUUUUGAAUGAUUGAAUUGAAGUAUAUAAGAGCAAUUAAAAAGCAACAAUUGAGCAAGAUGUGAAAUUAUUAUUCAGUCUAAUAUAUAUAUGCAAGACCCAAGAAAGAAAGAACAUUAAAAAGAAAAGCAACACCCAAGAAGUGAAGGAACUAAAAUUGGCUUGCUUGGGUAAAGUAGAAAUAGAAGUAUGAAGGGGAAUAAAAGGAUCAGCUUGUUGCAGGUGGCUUUCUAGAAGAGAAGGAUAUGUAUGCUCUGAUUUUGGGUUAUUUUAUAUGGGUGGUGUUGCCUUGUUGGUUAUGGAACUGCAAAGAAUGGAGAGAAAAAGAGGAUAAGGAUGCUUUAUGUCUGUGGUUAAAGUUGAUUGGUGAUAAAUUGACAAAUUUCAUUUUCUAAUUGAAAACAUGAACACGGAAGAAAAAUCACGAUUUUGCUCGAUGUCAAGUGAUUUUACCGAGUCAAAACUAUUUUAGUAUGAUUUUAAUAGUUCUCUAGUUUUUAUACCGAGUUGACAUUAUAAGUAUAGGUUGACUCGUAAAAUAUACGAUUUUACAAGUCAACUCGCGAUUUUAACAACAUUGAUUGGUAUCAUCAAUAGGAACAAAAUAAUAAACAUUUUUCUCCUAGUAGAGUGAUGUUGUAGCUCUACAGAGCUUCUCUUAACUAGAAUACUAGUGCUCAAAAGUGAUACAAGUUUAACACAAAGGCCAUUGAAAACCAUGAUAGAGAUUGGUUCCUAAAUAUUGUAUUGGACUUGAUGGGCCUAACGAUUCCCUUAUGUAGCUAGCACCACCUUAAUGAGGAGUCGGACUUGGUUGAAAAGUUGUUAAUGCUUUGAUAAAGCAGUUGUGCCAGUAGUCGCAGGGAGGUCCGUAACACAUCAUAUUCUAGGUUUGUCUUGAUUAUCUAUCAUUAAUAGUCAUAAAGGAUGUCAAAAACCAAUUCAGGAAGAACAACUGAUGGCUUUUUAUCAUUGCUCCCAUAAACGACACCAUUGAUGAUGUCCUAAAAAAUCCAAGUAGCUUAGAAGCAAGGAUUGUGUCUUGGAUAAUCGGCUAAUAUCUUGGUUCUAGUAAUCUGAUCCACAUGGCUAAAAUGGUUGGUGAUCAAUGUCUAGUGCCUGAUAAGUCAAGAUGGUACAUGGCUGGUACCUAUAAAAAUCUUAUUUUGAUAGAUUUGGGGACUCUUUAAUAUUUAAGUAAGUAUAUUUUUUAGAGAAAAGACAAUGAUAUAUUAGGGAGAGACUCUAAAAAUAAACAUAUAGUAAAAAACGAAGAUUUUGAACCUGCUUUCAUUGAAGGAUUCAUAGGGUUUUUAUAACCCAUGAUUCUUGUCCUAAUAAUAUUAUCGAGGGAAAAUAUCCUUGACACAUUCAUUAAAGAUAGAUAAAUAUCCCUCAUAAAUUAUUAAUCAAUGAGAAAUAUCUUUUACACAUCAUUAACGAGGGAUAAGUGGUAGGUUCUUUUGAAGACUUUUAUACAUCUAAGAGUAUAGAGAGAUGAGUAUCCCUGACCUCAACAUUUUAUGUUAAGAAUUAUGAGGAAAAACAAGCGGAGUAUUGUGGCUCGAUAUGAGACAUAAAAAGAUCAUUGGUUCUAUAUAAAUUUGAGCUCAGAGAGAUAUUGAGUCUAACAGCAAAUAGCUGAGUUUAGUUAUGUUAAGUCUAGUAACUUUAUCAGACUCAUGUAUACUUGGACUCAACAUCUUUCUGCGUCUCAUAACUUACCAAAUAUAUAUAUACACACACACACAGUAAAUAGUUGAUCCAAUAAUAUUAAAUUAUCACGUCCUUUUAAACAUAGAUUUUAAGCUAAACAACAUCAAUAAAAACACGCUUAUCCAAAGGUAACACUGAACUCGAGACCUCACCUUUUUCCAAAGAGUAGCACUUUGAGAAGAACUGUUUUUUAAGCUCUACUUGAAAAAGAGAUGCAAGCAUGCAUGGUUAAUUAAUUUGCUUAAAUAAUACCCUUUAACCACCAUCCUAAAUCACGGCAUUGCUAUAGGUUAGAGUGGGGCCCAAGGAUAUACAAGCCCCCAUGUUCAGACAGAAAGACAGAUCCAACAAACAUUUCUCCACCGCAAGUUCACAAUCCGUGAUGCCACAGUUCAGUUCAGCGUAUUGAUUGAUGGAUUAGGGAAACCUGCCAAGUUCAACUCACGGGCUACCCUUAUUUCCUAUCCCUAUCCUCCUCCUUUUCCUAUAUAUAAUCGAACCAAAACCGCCCCAAGAAGCAACAAAAGAAUAUAAACAAGAAGAUCAACUGUCUCUCUGCCUGGUUUGUAUUCCAAGAAAUGGAGAAAGUCCAAAAGCUCCUUUGUGUGGCUCUAUUGCUUGCAGUACUAGCCAUAGCAAGCAAUAUUGCGAAUGCCCAGAGUACCAUAUGCAAAAUGCCUGUUGCUGGCCUAAUGUCAUGCAAGCCUUCUGUAACUCCUCCUAACCCUACCGCACCCUCGGCAGACUGCUGCUCGGCACUUUCGCAUGCUGACAUAAACUGCCUUUGCUCCUACAAAAAUUCCAACCUGCUCCCUUCCCUUGGAAUCGACCCAAAACUUGCCAUGCAGCUCCCUGGCAAGUGCAAGCUUCCUCACCCUGCUAAUUGCUAGACUACCGAUCGUAAUCGAUCCAAGGGUUUUCCUCUACAUAUAUGUAUCAUGUCAUAAACGUCUGCCAAAAGAAGAGAUCAUAAAUCAAGGAAGAGUACAAUAAAUCAGCUAACCUUCUAUGCUCCUCUUGAUCAGCGCUUUAGAAGUUGGCUAAGUACCAGCUAAUUAUCCUCCUGAUUGUGAUUUGAUGUAAUUCCUUGUUGCGAGUUCUUGUUUGUUAGUUGAUGAGUGUGUAUUAAGCUUAAGUUAAUCCAAUGUUAUCGUGAAAAUUUGU
rnacentral:lncRNA from 1 species